CCCUGCCAUUUGUACACACCGCCCGUCGCUACUACCGAUUGAAUGGUUUAGUGAGAUCUUUGGACUGCGGCCACGCAGCUGUCUGACAGCAGCGAGGCUCGCGGGAAGCUGAUCAAACUUGAUCAUUU
rnacentral:rRNA from 1 species